rnacentral:rRNA from 1 species
GGGGAUAACACUUAGAAAUAGGUGCUAAUACCGCAUAAGCGCACAGCUUCGCAUGAAGCAGUGUGAAAAACUCCGGUGGUAUACGAUGGAUCCGCGUCUGAUUAGCUGGUUGGCGGGGUAACAGCCCACCAAGGCGACGAUCAGUAGCCGGCCUGAGAGGGUGAACGGCCACAUUGGGACUGAGACACGGCCCAAACUCCUACGGGAGGCAGCAGUGGGGAAUAUUGCACAAUGGGGGAAACCCUGAUGCAGCGACGCCGCGUGAGUGAAGAAGUAUUUCGGUAUGUAAAGCUCUAUCAGCAGGGAAGAAAAUGACGGUACCUGACUAAGAAGCCCCGGCUAACUACGUGCCAGCAGCCGCGGUAAUACGUAGGGGGCAAGCGUUAUCCGGAUUUACUGGGUGUAAAGGGAGCGUAGACGGCAGCGCAAGUCUGAAGUGAAAUCCCAUGGCUUAACCAUGGAACUGCUUUGGAAACUGUGCAGCUGGAGUGCAGGAGAGGUAAGCGGAAUUCCUAGUGUAGCGGUGAAAUGCGUAGAUAUUAGGAGGAACACCAGUGGCGAAGGCGGCUUACUGGACUGUAACUGACGUUGAGGCUCGAAAGCGUGGGGAGCAAACAGGAUUAGAUACCCUGGUAGUCCACGCCGUAAACGAUGAU